UUACGGCCAUAUCACGUUGAAACACCGGUUCCAAUACGAUCACCGAAGUUAAGCAACGUCGAGCCUGGUCUAGAUGGGUGGCCGCCCAAGAAUACUAGGUGCUGUAAG